AGAAUGACUCAUCUGAUGUUUCUGGUCUACUUGUUCACAUCAAGUGCUUCAUUCUCAUUCGCACAGUCAACCUCUAUAACUUCUACAACCUCUAUAACUUCUACGACUUCAAAUAUCUUUGCUAUUGUUGAAGGGGAGGUUGGUUCAGGGGAGGUUGAUUCAGGUGAACUUGUUGAGUCUCCAACAACUGCAAGUACACCUGAGUUAACUACUUCAACCACACGUUCAACAGCCACAUCAAAAACGACUACACCAGUCACCCUUCCAGCAUCAGCUGCAUCAACCAGCACUGCCACCAGCAUGCCUAAAACAGUUACACCAACAAAUUCUCCAACAACUGGGAUUACAAAUGAAAGAACCACAUCAACCUAUCUUCCAACAAGCACAACUGAACAUGCUACACCCUCAAGUAUCCUUGAAACAAGUGCAUCAACUCAUGACCCAACCUUGAGUACAGCUAUGACACCAACCAGCCCUCCUACAAGUUCAAGUACACCACAUCAUAGUACAUCAACCAACCCCACCACCAGCGUAACUUCAUUUGAUCAAACCACAUCAGAGCAAUCUACACCAAUCUACACCAGCAUGCCUAAAACAGUUACACCAACACAUUCUCCAACAACUGGGAUUACAAAUGAAAGAACCACAUCAACCUAUCUUCCAACAAGCACAACUGAACAUGCUACAACCUCAAGUAUCCUUGAAACAAGUACAUCAACUUAUGACCCAACCUUGAGUACAGCUAUGAAACCAACCAGCCCUCCUACAAGUACACCACGUCAUAGUACAUCAACCAACCCCACCACCAGCGUAACUUCAUUUGAUCAAACCACAUCAGAGCAAUCUACACCAAUCUACACCAGCAUGCCUAAAACAGUUACACCAACACAUUCUCCAACAACUGGGAUUACAAAUGAAAGAACCACAUCAACCUAUCUUCCAACAAGCACAACUGAACAUGCUACAACCUCAAGUAUCCUUGAAACAAGUACAUCAACUUAUGACCCAACCUCAAGUACAGCUAUGAAACCAACAAGCCCUCCUACAAGUACACCUGAGACAACUAUGUCAUCAGCUGCAUCAACCAGCACUGCCACCAGCAUGCCUAUAACAGUUACACCAACACAUUCUCCAACAACUGGGAUUACAAAUGAAAGAACCACAUCAACCUAUCUUCCAACAAGCACAACUGAACAUGCUACAACCUCAAGUAUCCUUGAAACAAGUACAUCAACUCAUGACCCAACCUCAAGUACAGCUAUGAAACCAACCAGCCCUCCUACAAGUACACCUGAGACAACUAUGUCAUCAGCUGCAUCAACCAGCACUGCCACCAGCGGAACUUCAUUUGAUCAAACCACAUCAGAGCAAUCUACACCAAGAGGCCCAUCCACUGCUGACCCAAAUCCACCCCUUCUGAGUAUGACUGCAUAUGCAAACAAUUACUAUACAGCUCAUCAUUUGAUAUAGUUCUGAAAAAGAAAAGUAUUAAUUUUUGUAUUUUAUUUCUGCUUUCAACAGAUUUAACUACAUUAGUCUAUGGAAGUCUCAUGUUGACAUCUGAAGUUGAACUUAAUGAUGACACAGCUGUGAUACUAAUGAAAG
ensembl:lncRNA